UCUAUCUUAAUUAACAUACACCUGUACUCUCUCUCCCUUCUAAUGUACCAAAUCAAUGAAAUUAUUUAUAGAGUAAUGCUUCUAUACUUUUUUUUUUUUUUACCGUUCAUUCACGUGUAUUCAACGGCUCGGAUUUAGUUUUUUUAAAAUUGUGACCUGCAAUAGCAGGUGACUUUAGGAGAGGUACCGGUUACCAGGUACCUCAAAAAAGAAUAUUUUUGUCUUUUAAUACAUGGGCAAUUUAGUCAUUUUACGUCUACUAUAUUUUCAAAAUUUUUAUUUUUUCUUUGUUUCCUUUUUCUCUCUCUAUCUUUCCUUUCAUAAUUUGGCAUUUCAUAUAAGAAAAAUUUCAAAUGAUUUGAUAAUAUAAUCAUUGAAUUUAAACUUUAAAUAGUAAUAUGAAAUUCCUCUAAUUUAAAUUUCACUUUUAAAUUUAAAAUUUAAUAU
rnacentral:lncRNA from 1 species